rnacentral:rRNA from 1 species
AAUGAACGUUGGCGGCGUGGAUUAGGCAUGCAAGUCGAGCGAGAACCCGCAAGGGGGACAGCGGCAAACGGGGUAGGAAUGAUUGGUGACGUACCCUCGGGACGGGGAUAGCCACGGGAAACUGUGGGUAAUACCCGAUAACCUCCCGGGUUUGAAGACCUGGGUGCAAAGGUGUGAUUCCACCGGAGGAGCGGCCAAUCUGGUAUUAGCUAGUUGGUAGGGUAACGGCCUACCAAGGCUACGAUGCCUAGGGGGUGUGAGAGCAUGGCCCCCACCACUGGGACUGAGAUACUGCCCAGACACCUACGGGUGGCUGCAGUCGAGAAUCUUCGGCAAUGGGCGCAAGCCUGACCGAGCGACGCCGCGUGUGGGAUGAAGGCCCUUGGGUUGUAAACCACUGUCAGAGGGGAUGAAGUGCCAGCCAGCAAUCUGGUUGGUUUGACAUAGCCUCAGAGGAAGCACGGGCUAAGUUCGUGCCAGCCGCCGCGGUAA